rnacentral:lncRNA from 1 species
UUAGCCAAGGGUGGGGAACCUCCCAUAAACCUUUGGAUCGGAGCUUCAACUCCGCUUUAUGGACCCGGUCCAAGAAAUCCACAUACGGCAGAUCAGUUGUAAAGACGGAUGCCGGUAUGAAAUUUAAUUUCUUCAACAACGACUCUACUUCCUGCAUUUCAGUCAUCAACCAAAGCUUCGAGUUUAAAACAUUAAAAGAUAUAACCAAAGUACCAAAAAACAAGAAAACCUUCCCCAAAGAGGAGUACAAAAAAGAAAAAGGCUGCUACCAAACCAAAACAGUUGCUUUUGUCAGGAUAAGUUUAACUGCAAUCAAUUAAUAUUCAAUUAUCUCCGGAGAAAGAGAUUAAUUAGGUGGAGAAUAAUUUGUUGAGUCAUAGACUGGAAGGCUCAGCUUUAUUAAUAUCUAAAACUGUAAUAUUAUACAAUUAUAAAGUAAUGUUCAUCAAUCUUAGGAUUAGAUUACACAAGAUCUUGCAUAUGUAUUGCAUUAUUAUUAUUUGGUUACAGUAUUAUAUUAUUUUUUAAGUAGUCUUCAUAAAAUAUUUACUGCCAGAGAUAGAUAGUGUGUAUUUAAUAAUCUCCUCGAUCACAUAAAUCUAGGACAAGGAGGUCAACACCUGAGUUGAUUUACAAAAUCCAUUCACUUUGGAUUCUAUAAGAAAGUAAUCCAUAUAAAUUAAUGAGAGCUGUGUCUGUGUGCAGUAUGUACAUAUAUGUACCUGGUCGACGGUAGAAGCAGUAGAUUCAUGGUAGUUCUUGGCGAUCUCCAAGCAAUACAAAACGCCUCCAUUAGGAUCAAGAGAAGAAAUUUUGACAGGGUUGUG